rnacentral:rRNA from 1 species
GAUGAACGCUAGCGGCAGGCUUAAUACAUGCAAGUCGAGGGGCAGCAUGACUGUAGCAAUACAGUUGAUGGCGACCGGCAAACGGGUGCGGAACACGUAUAGAACCUUCCUUCGAGCGGGGAAUAGCCCAGAGAAAUUUGGAUUAAUACCCCAUAGUAUUACGGAGUGGCAUCACUUUGUAAUUAAAGAUUUAUCAAUUGAAGCUGGCUGUGCGGCUGAUUAGGUAGUUGGCGGGGUAACGGCCCACCAAGCCUGCGAUCAGUAACUGGUGUGAGAGCACGACCAGUCACACGGGCACUGAGACACGGGCCCGACUCCUACGGGAGGCAGCAGUAAGGAAUAUUGGUCAAUGGACGAAAGUCUGAACCAGCCAUGCCGCGUGGAGGAUGAAGGUCCUCUGGAUUGUAAACUUCUUUUAUAUGGGACGAAAAAAGGCUUUUCUAAGUCGUCUGACGGUACCAUAUGAAUAAGCACCGGCUAACUCCGUGCCAGCCGCCGCAGUAAGAC